AAUUCGCCCUUGAGCACGUAGGUGGGUUUGUAAGUCAGAUGUGAAAGCCUUCUGUUCAACGGAAGAAUUGCAUCUGAAACUACAAGUCUUGAGUGUAGGAGGGGAGAAUGGAACUUCUGGUGGAGCGGUGAAAUCCGUAGAUAUCAGAAGGAACGCCGGCGGCGAAAGCGAUUCUCUGGCCUAUUACUGACACUCAGUGUGCGAAAGCUAGGGGAGCAAACGGGAUUAGAUACCCCGGUAGUCCUAGCCGUAAACGAUGGGCACUAAGUAGAGGGGAUUACCGACGUUCUCUCUGCCGUAGCUAACGCAUUAAGUGCCCCGCCUGGGGAGUACGGCCGCAAGGCUAAAACUCAAAAGAAUUGACGGGGGCUCGCACAAGCGGUGGAGCAUGUGGCUUAAUUCGAUGCAACGCGAAGAACCUUACCGGGGCUUGACACGGUAGAAGUAGGAACCCGAAAGGGUAACGAACGGUAUCCAGUCCGUGACUAUCACAGGUGCUGCAUGGCUGUCGUCAGCUCGUGUCGUGAGACGUUGGGUUAAGUCCCCUAACGAGCGAAACCCUUGUUUUUAGUUACCAGCGGGUUAUGCCGGGUACUCUAGAAAGACUGCCGUCGUCAAGACGGAGGAAGGUGGGGAUGACGUCAAGUCAUCAUGGCCCUUAUGCCCCGGGCUGCACACGCGCUACAAUGGUCGGUACAAACGGAAGCGAAGCCGAGAGGUGAAGCGAAUCCAAGGGCGAAUU
rnacentral:rRNA from 1 species